GGUGGAUGGGCUUGUAGAAACUUU
rnacentral:piRNA from 1 species